UGGGGAAUAUUGCACAAUGGGCGCAAGCCUGAUGCAGCCAUGCCGCGUGUGUGAAGAAGGCCUUCGGGUUGUAAAGCACUUUCAGCGAGGAGGAAGGGGUUGAGUUUAAUACGCUCAAUCAUUGACGUUACUCGCAGAAGAAGCACCGGCUAACUCCGUGCCAGCAGCCGCGGUAAUACGGAGGGUGCAAGCGUUAAUCGGAAUUACUGGGCGUAAAGCGCACGCAGGCGGUUUGUUAAGUCAGAUGUGAAAUCCCCGCGCUUAACGUGGGAACUGCAUUUGAAACUGGCAAGCUAGAGUCUUGUAGAGGGGGGUAGAAUUCCAGGUGUAGCGGUGAAAUGCGUAGAGAUCUGGAGGAAUACCGGUGGCGAAGGC
rnacentral:rRNA from 1 species